UCUUGCUUGGACACAUUCUGCUGGUUCUCUUUAGUAGCGAUCGUGCCUUCAAAAUGACCAGAUUGGGAUUGAUCUCUCUUGUGAUUCUCACGAUAGUUCUUCUAGAUGUCCUCAAUACGGGGCACUCAGUUCCUCUUCAAGGGUUCCAUGCAACACAGAGGGUUCCUAUAGCACGAGCAAGGAAAUUCUGCAUCCCCCACAGUACCUUCCUCGAUGACUGCAAUUGGUGCAAGUGCAACGGUGAAGGUGAUAAUUUUGUGUGUACAACAGAAAGGUGUGGCAAUACCAAACCCAGGACAAAAUCAUAUGGAUAAAUAAACCAACAUUUGUGUUCAAAA